rnacentral:rRNA from 1 species
CCUACGGGAGGCUGCAGUGGGGGAUAUUGCACAAUGGGGGGAACCCUGAUGCAGCGACGCCGCGUGGGUGAAGAAGCGCCUCGGCGCGUACAGCCCUGUCAGCAGGGAAGAAAAUGACGGUACCUGAAGCAGAAGCCCCGGCUAACUACGUGCCAGCAGCCGCGGUAAUACGUAGGGGGCAAGCGUUAUCCGGAUUUACUGGGUGUAAAGGGGGCGCAGACGGCGAUGCAAGCCAGGAGUGAAAGCCCGGGGCCCAACCCCGGGACUGCUCUUGGAACUGCGUGGCUGGAGUGCAGGAGGGGCAGGCAGAAUUCCAGGUGUAGCGGUGAAAUGCGUAGAUAUCAGGAGGAACACCGGUGGCGAAGGCGGCCUGCUGGACUGCAACUGACGUUGAGGCCCGAAAGCGUGGGGAGCAAACAGGAUUAGAUACCCUAGUAGUC